UCUGCUCGCCAACCGAGGCCCCGUACGGCGACUUGCUUUUGGGCGUUCCGAGGACCAGGCGGAACUCCUCAUCCUCCUCGUGAACCGAGUCGUCUUCCAACCUGACCACGCACGGCUUCUCCGACUCGCCUAUGAGGAGGUAUCCUCGACGUUUGAGCGUCACCUCCAGGAACUUGGCGUCCUCGUCCACCUGGUAGUACUCCCUUUCCAGAGAGAUCCAGGCCCAGUUGAGGCGAAACGACUGAGGCUUCAGUUUGUUGCCGCCUGUAGAAAGGCAAGUAUGGCAAAGCGUCUCUUAGCUGCCAUGCAAGGCUACUUCGUCGUCAAAGUAUAAAAGGGCAUUUUGUGCCAGUAACGUGAUCGCUAAUACGUUUCCUUAUAUGUGAUAAGAAGAGUCUCUCGUCUUUCGUGUAAUGGCUACCGUUCAUGUUACUGCGCUGUACACGCUUGAGAUUCUCGGGCUUUGUCUUUAGCCUGAGAAUUGGGUAAGGAAAUGUGAUUACAGUAAUCCGCUCCGAGCCCACCAAAAAAAAAAAAAAAACAUUUCUUUUUGAAACUACAAUGUUAAUACAGACAAUAGUACACUACAGUAUGGUAUGUUAUAAAAACAUACAAUAAUAAGAUCAUUGCAUAAAAUUUAAAGAAUUAUGCAAUUUGGGCAUCAAGACCAUUUCAUGAGCAUUGUGCUGCUCCUUCUGGUGUGCAUGCCUUGGCCACUUGGGGGCUGUUUAAUGCAUACAGACAUAAAUCCGUCCUGAAAUCAAUGCUUGUUUCAUUAGCCUGUACAUGGUCUUUCUCAUUAUAUGCUAGCAUGAAGCUAGCAGACUUUAGUAAGACACUUUAGUAAGGCUUUGGUUAAAUACAUAUAAUAAUACUGUAUUUGUUACAAUUUUAUUUUGAUUGUAAACUUUAAUUAAGAGUGGCAGUAAAAGCUUGAAGCGAGCACACUUGCCACCUUUUUGAAGAAUUUUUCAGUUUGAUUUUUUUCUCUAUUUUGACUUGGGUCUUGUAAUUCUGACUUGAUUGAUUUUUGUAAUAUCCGUAAUUUAUUCAUCUUAAUCUGUGUCCAAUUUAUAUAUAAAAAAAAGAAAAAGAAAAGUCCUCCAACUCAAUUAUUGUAAAACUUUGGAUCUCAUCAUAGUUUUGACCGUUUUCUGGCAAAAAAUCUAUGGAAACCUUAAAACUCAAUUUUUAUACUUCUACCAUUACUUAUUCAGCUUGAUGUGUCAUGUUUACAUUUUUUUUACCUCUACAUCUUACCAUAAAUUUAAAACUUUCUUGUCAUAGUAGUUUAAACAAAUUCUCGCAAUUUUAUGAUUUUUUUUUUCUUUUCUCAAUUUCUGACUUCCAGUUUAAGAUACAGCUACAGGGCUUAGCUUUUUAAGAGAAAACACCUGAAACUAUGUCAAGCCCCGGAGGUAAUCCCUUUCAAGCACUGACCGAGAGCCAGUGAGAUAUUUAAGAUUAUCGGCCCUCUGUCAUUAAAAAAAAAAAAACAAAAAAAACAUGGUGAGAUAACUCUCCGGGUGACCUGCUACUUUUGAUGUGGAAUAGGUUACGGUCAGUGGCGUCUUUGGCUUAGCGAGGUUAGGUGGGGGGGUCAUUUUAGUUGCACAUCGCUGCUCACGCUGACAACGGACCUCUUGAACCAGCGAAAGACUGAAUGAGGACCAAAACUGAGAUUUCUUCUUCCUUGCCAUGAGGAAGAUGAAAAGCUUUAUAGUGGACAUGCAAAAUAUAUAUUUUUAUAUUACAUUUUUCAUCAUUCAAUCUUUGUUUUAAUGGUUUGAGAACUUUCGAUAAUGAAGUCAUGUAUAGAAAAAUAACAUCACAGCUUGACCAGAAUAAAGUAGAACCAAUAACAAAAAUUUAUAAGAAUAAAGUGGUCAUACUUGAGGAAUACAUUUCAUAGAAUUACCAAAAGUAGGAUUGUAAUGUUACAAUAAUAGCAUUGUAAAAAAAUACUGUAAUAAUAAAGCAUACAUUUACAAGAAAAAAGGCUUACCGGUACAUUUACAAGAAAAGCGUUUUUAUUUGUUUGCUUUUUUUUUUGUUUGUUUGUUUUUUGUUUCCAAAAAUCGUGCCCAAAACUUUCCCCGAAAAAAUACCGGUAGGUUGGAUUUGGCCUUCAUUAUCACAAAUGGACACGGUGGACAAAGAGCAAGUUAUCUCAGCAUUGAAGGAGACCGCAGCCGUUCUGCUAUGUGAACUGAGCAGAACGAAACCAUUGGAGGGCCGAAGCCGGGGGUAUUUGGAAGAGGGACCAGUUCCUCAAAAGCCACAUUUCUUGGCUGGCAGUUAAACGUCGCCCGAAGGGGCAAUUUUGAUUGAGCCCCACCAACUCUGCCUAGCAACAGGUGGCUGUCACUCAGUAAAGUCACCAAAACUCUGGUCCGCUUCGAGCACAACUACAAUGUGGAGUGACAGCUGUACCCAAAGCCCCCUGUGCAAUGUGGGUGGGCCGUGUUUUUUUUUUUUUUUUUUGCUCUGGGAGAGUCCCUGGAAGAAGUCCCCCCUUUUUCCUGUGACUUCUUUUGUUGUAAUUUGCAAGACCUCCCCCCACCCCGAGUCUGAUCUGACCAGCCCGCUGACAGAAUUCCCACCAGUUUUGUGCUAAUUCGUGAGCUUGGUAGCCAUGUUUGCUAAAAUACUAAAUGCUAACUUGUCGGUUUUACAGCAAAGCGCCUCCAAAUAAGCACAUCUCCAAAUGGUAACUUUAGCUAACUGAUGCUAACACAACAUAAGAUAUCCUGGUUGGUCCACUAAUUGAAAAAUAAAAGU